CAGGUGUAGCGGUGAAAUGCGUAGAGAUCUGGAGGAAUACCGGUGGCGAAGGCGGCCCCCUGGACGAAGACUGACGCUCAGGUGCGAAAGCGUGGGGAGCAAACAGGAUUAGAUACCCUGGUAGUCCACGCCGUAAACGAUGUCGACUUGGAGGUUGUGCCCUUGAGGCGUGGCUUCCGGAGCUAACGCGUUAAGUCGACCGCCUGGGGAGUACGGCCGCAAGGUUAAAACUCAAAUGAAUUGACGGGGGCCCGCACAAGCGGUGGAGCAUGUGGUUUAAUUCGAUGCAACGCGAAGAACCUUACCUGGUCUUGACAUCCACGGAAGUUUUCAGAGAUGAGAAUGUGCCUUCGGGAACCGUGAGACAGGUGCUGCAUGGCUGUCGUCAGCUCGUGUUGUGAAAUGUUGGGUUAAGUCCCGCAACGAGCGCAACCCUUAUCCUUUGUUGCCAGCGGUCCGGCCGGGAACUCAAAGGAGACUGCCAGUGAUAAACUGGAGGAAGGUGGGGAUGACGUCAAGUCAUCAUGGCCCUUACGACCAGGGCUACACACGUGCUACAAUGGCGCAUACAAAGAGAAGCGACCUCGCGAGAGCAAGCGGACCUCAUAAAGUGCGUCGUAGUCCGGAUUGGAGUCUGCAACUCGACUCCAUGAAGUCGGAAUCGCUAGUAAUCGUGGAUCAGAAUGCCACGGUGAAUACGUUCCCGGGCCUUGUACACACCGCCCGUCACACCAUGGGAGUGGGUUGCAAAAGAAGUAGGUAGCUUAACCUUCGGGAGGGCGCUUACCACUUUGUGAUUCAUGACUGGGGUGAAGUCGUAACAAGGUAACCGUAGGGGAACCUGCGGUUGGAUCACCUCCUUACCUUAAAGAAGC
rnacentral:rRNA from 1 species